GUGCAUUUCCUUCAUUAGCACUUAUACCAACAUUGGAAAAAUACAGAGAAGAUUAGACUGACCCAUGCACAGGAAUGGCAAGAAAAUCUGUGGUGCAAUUUUUUU
rnacentral:snRNA from 1 species